rnacentral:rRNA from 1 species
GCUUAACACAUGCAAGUCGAGCGGGCGUAGCAAUACGUCAGCGGCAGACGGGUGAGUAACGCGUGGGAACGUACCUUUUGGUUCGGAACAACCCAGGGAAACUUGUGCUAAUACCGGAUAAGCCCUUCGGGGGAAAGAUUUAUCGUCGAAAGAUCGGCCCGCGUCUGAUUAGCUAGUUGGAGGGGUAAUGGCCCACCAAGGCGACGAUCAGUAGCUGGUCUGAGAGGAUGAUCAGCCUCACUGGGACUGAGACACGGCCCAGACUCCUACGGGAGGCAGCAGUGGGGAAUAUUGGACAAUGGGCGCAAGCCUGAUCCAGCCAUGCCGCGUGGGUGAUGAAGGCCCUAGGGUUGUAAAGCCCUUUCGGCGGGGAAGAUAAUGACGGUACCCGCAGAAGAAGCCCCGGCUAACUUCGUGCCAGCAGCCGCGGUAAUAC